ACACGGAGGGUGCGAGCGUUAAUCGGAAUUACUGGGCGUAAAGCGUACGUAGGCGGUUGGUUAAGUUAGAUGUGAAAGCCCCGGGCUUAGCCUGGGAACUGCAUUUAAAACUGACGAACUAGAGUUGAGUAGAGGGGAGUGGAAUUUCAGGUGUAGCGGUGAAAUGCGUAGAGAUCUGAAGGAACACCAGUGGCGAAGGCGACUCCCUGGACUCGAACUGACGCUGAGGUACGAAAGCGUGGGUAGCAAACGGGAUUAGAAACCCUAGUAGUCC
rnacentral:rRNA from 1 species